rnacentral:rRNA from 1 species
AGUGAACGCUGGCGGCGUGCCUAAUACAUGCAAGUCGAACGGAGAUUAAGUAGCUUGCUAUUUACUCUUAGUGGCGCACGGGUGAGUAAUAUAUAGCUAACUUGCCCAUUACUAAGGGACAACAGUUGGAAACGACUGCUAAUACCUUAUACUCCGUAUCUAUAUAAGUAGAUACGGGAAAGUUUUUCGGUAAUGGAUAGGGCUAUAUCGUAUCAGCUAGUUGGUAAGGUAAUGGCUUACCAAGGCUAUGACGCGUAACUGGUCUGAGAGGAUGAUCAGUCACACUGGAACUGAGACACGGUCCAGACUCCUACGGGAGACAGCAGUAGGGAAUAUUGCUCAAUGGGGGAAACCCUGAAGCAGCAACGCCGCGUGGAGGAUGACACUUUUCGGAGCGUAAACUCCUUUUCUUGGGAAAGAAUUAUGACGGUACCCAAGGAAUAAGCACCGGCUAACUCCGUG